rnacentral:rRNA from 1 species
UGCAAGUCGAACGGCAGCACGGACUUCGGUCUGGUGGCGAGUGGCGAACGGGUGAGUAAUGUAUCGGAACGUGCCCAGUAGCGGGGGAUAACUACGCGAAAGCGUAGCUAAUACCGCAUACGCCCUACGGGGGAAAGCAGGGGAUCGCAAGACCUUGCACUAUUGGAGCGGCCGAUAUCGGAUUAGCUAGUUGGUGGGGUAACGGCUCACCAAGGCGACGAUCCGUAGCUGGUUUGAGAGGACGACCAGCCACACUGGGACUGAGACACGGCCCAGACUCCUACGGGAGGCAGCAGUGGGGAAUUUUGGACAAUGGGGGAACCCUGAUCCAGCCAUCCCGCGUGUGCGAUGAAGGCCUUCGGGUUGUAAAGCACUUUUGGCAGGAAAGAAACGUCAUGGGCUAAUACCCCGUGAAACUGACGGUACCUGCAGAAUAAGCACCGGCUAACUACGUGCCAGCAGCCGCGGUAAUACGUAGGGUGCAAGCGUUAAUCGGAAUUACUGGGCGUAAAGCGUGCGCAGGCGGUUCGGAAAGAAAGAUGUGAAAUCCCAGAGCUUAACUUUGGAACUGCAUUUUUAACUACCGGGCUAGAGUGUGUCAGAGGGAGGUGGAAUUCCGCGUGUAGCAGUGAAAUGCGUAGAUAUGCGGAGGAACACCGAUGGCGAAGGCAGCCUCCUGGGAUAACACUGACGCUCAUGCACGAAAGCGUGGGGAGCAAACAGGAUUAGAUACCCUG